rnacentral:miRNA from 1 species
UCGUCAAGGUUGUCCGCUAUC